GACGACGCUGGCGGCGUGCCUAAUACAUGCAAGUAGGACGAGUUGCGAACGGGUGAGUAACGCGUAGGUAACCGCCUAUUAGAGGGGGAUAACUAUUGGAUACGAUAGCUAAUACCGCAUACCAUCGGGUGUGCCCAGGUGGGAUUGGCUAGUAGGUGGGGUAACGGCUCACCAAGGCGACGAUCCCUAGCUGGUCUGAGAGGAUGACCAGCAACACUGGAACUGAGACACGGUCCAGACUCCUACGGGAGGCAGCAGUGGGGAAUAUUGCACAAUGGGCGCAAGCCUGAUGCAGCCAUGCCGCGUGUAUGAAGAAGGCCUUCGGGUUUUAAAGUACUUGCAGCGAGGAGGCGUUACUCGCAGAAGAAGCACCGGCUAACUCCGUGCCAGCAGCCGCGGUAAUAC
rnacentral:rRNA from 1 species